UACAGAGGUCUCAAGCGUUGUUCGGAUUCAUUGGGCGUAAAGGGUGCGUAGGCGGCGCGGUAAGUCGGGUGUGAAAUCUUGGAGCUUAACUCCGAAACUGCAUUCGAUACUGCCGUGCUUGAGGACUGGAGAGGAGGCUGGAAUUUCCGGUGUAGCGGUGAAAUGCGUAGAUAUCGGAAGGAACACCUGUGGCGAAAGCGGCUCACUGGACCAUAACUGACGCUGAGGCGCGAAAGCUAGGGGAGCAAACAGG
rnacentral:rRNA from 1 species